rnacentral:rRNA from 1 species
CAGCAGCCACGGUAAUACGUAGGGUGCGAGCGUUAAUCGGAAUUACUGGGCGUAAAGCGUGCGCAGGCGGUUCGUUAAGACAGAUGUGAAAUCCCCGGGCUCAACCUGGGACCUGCAUUUGUGACUGUAUAGCUAGAGUACGGUAGAGGGGGAUGGAAUUCCGCGUGUAGCAGUGAAAUGCGUAGAUAUGCGGAGGAACACCGAUGGCGAAGGCAAUCCCCUGGACCUGUACUGACGCUCAUGCACGAAAGCGUGGGGAGCAAACAGGAUUAGAUACCCCAGUAGUCCCUGUCUCUUAUAC